rnacentral:lncRNA from 10 species
UGUGCCAUCAGCAGUGUAGAAACUAGAAUAACCAGCUGCCGUAUUGUGAGCUGCAUUAUGAAGAGAACCAUGUGGCAAGACACUGAGGGAGAUCUCCAGCCAACAACAACUCAUAAGCAACUAAAUCUUGUGAUGAACCACUGGAGUCAUCUGGAAAGAGGAUCCUCUCACCUUCAAUCUUUGAAAUGGCUAGAGCUCUGAUGACAGUUGGAUUACAGCCUUAGGAGAAACAGAGAGCCGGGGAAAUUUGUGCCCAGGUUCCUUUCCCACAGACAUUGUCAGAUAAUAAAUAUCUCUGCGUUUUUAAGCUUCUAUGUUCUGGGAUAAUUUGUUAUGCUGCAAUAAAUAACAACCUGGAAGUGAGGUGCUGCCAUAGUAAAUAUCUAAAUAUGGAUCAUUAACUCAUGUCUAAACUAGCCUUAGAAUAAUAGCUACUCUAGACUUGUUAGCAGAACUUAAAACAAGCCUUAAGAGAACCAAGCUGAUCCAGAAAUAACAUACAUUAGCGGAUUAAAAUCCAACUUUCCU